rnacentral:rRNA from 1 species
GUACACGCUGUGACUAGCAUAUCAAUAAGCGGAGGAAAAGAAACUAACAAGGAUUCCCCUAGUAACGGCGAGUGAAGCGGGAAGAGCUCAAAUUUGAAAUCUUAAAGGGUUUCCCUUUACGAAUUGUAGUUUAAAGAAGUGUUUUCUGUUGAGGUUUUGGUAAAAGUUCUUUGGAAUAGGACAUCAUAGAGGGUGAGAAUCCCGUAUUUGACCUUUACUUUCAACUUUGUGAUACACUUUCAAAGAGUCGGAUUGUUUGGGAAUGCAGUCCAAAAUGGGUGGUAAAUUUCAUCUAGAGCUAAAUAUUGGCGAGAGACCGAUAGCGAUCAAGUACCGUGAGGGAAAGAUGAAAAGAACUUUGAAAAGAGAGUUAAACAGUACGUGAAAUUGUCAAAAGGGAAGCGUUUGACACCAGUGUUGUUUUUCUGAAAAUCAAUUAAAGAACUGUUUAUGCUAAGCUGUUUAGACUUUAUCAGCUAUCUGUUUAGUUUUAGGCUUUUCUUUAAUGCACUUUUCAGUUAACAAGUCAACAUCAAUUUCUUUUGCUGUAAAAAAGCUUGAGGAAGGUGGCUUGAGAUUCGUCUUAAGUGUUUAUAGCCUCUUGCCUAUGCAGUCGGAGAGAUUGAGGUCUGCAGCGUAGAUCCUUCGGGGCUAAAUGCAUUUGUGCUAAGUUAUAGCAUUUUAUAGACAACUUGUUGACUAUGAUUUGUCUUGUAGCUUACUCGCUUAUGUUAUUUUACCUACGCUUAGGAUGUUGAGUCGUAGAGCACGCAG